rnacentral:rRNA from 1 species
UACAGAGGUCUCAAGCGUUGUUCGGAUUCAUUGGGCGUAAAGGGUGCGUAGGUGGCGCUGUAAGUCGGGUGUGAAAUUUCGGAGCUUAACUCCGAAACUGCAUUCGAUACUGCGGUGCUUGAGGACUGGAGAGGAGACUGGAAUUCAUGGUGUAGCAGUGAAAUGCGUAGAGAUCAUGAGGAAGACCAGUGGCGAAGGCGGGUCUCUGGACAGUUCCUGACACUGAAGCACGAAGGCCAGGGGAGCAAACGGG